rnacentral:tRNA from 2 species
CGGGACUGGCGGGGCUCGAACCU